rnacentral:rRNA from 1 species
GUAAAGUUUUAUCCUAGCUUGUUCUUUCAUUUUUAGGUUAAUGGUACAUGUAAAUUUUAAUGUUACAACAUAUUUUGUUAAAACUAAAGGUUAACAAAUGGUCUAAAAGUAGAGGUUUCUUUAAGAAAUAAAUUCUCAGUACCUAGUGCUAAUCAAUAAAUAUACGUUAGAAUUGGUAAUCCUAAUCAUAUACCUGGUUAAAAUUUGUGCCAGCAGCCGCGGUUAGACUGAGAGGUAAAAUGAAAGAAAUUUGGUUAAAAACAGUUAUAUUUAUUAAUUUUUUUUUCUUUUAAAGGACUAUAUUAAUAAAGGGUGAAAUCAGUUUUUUAAUAAAUAGUAAAAUAAAAGUCUUAAUUUUAAUUGAAG